UGGGGAAUAUUGCACAAUGGGCGCAAGCCUGAUGCAGCCAUGCCGCGUGUGUGAAGAAGGCCUUCGGGUUGUAAAGCACUUUCAGCGGGGAGGAAGGCGAUAAGGUUAAUAACCUUGUCGAUUGACGUUACCCGCAGAAGAAGCACCGGCUAACUCCGUGCCAGCAGCCGCGGUAAUACGGAGGGUGCAAGCGUUAAUCGGAAUUACUGGGCGUAAAGCGCACGCAGGCGGUCUGUCAAGUCGGAUGUGAAAUCCCCGGGCUCAACCUGGGAACUGGAUUCGAAACUGGCAGGCUAGAGUCUUGUAGAGGGGGGUAGAAUUCCAGGUGUAGCGGUGAAAUGCGUAGAGAUCUGGAGGAAUACCGGUGGCGAAGGCGGCCCCCUGGACAAAGACUGACGCUCAGGUGCGAAAGCGUGGGGAGCAAACAGG
rnacentral:rRNA from 1 species